CCUACGGGAGGCAGCAGUGAGGAAUAUUGGUCAAUGGACGAGAGUCUGAACCAGCCAAGUAGCGUGAAGGAUGACUGCCCUAUGGGUUGUAAACUUCUUUUAUAUGGGAAUAAAACGUUCCACGUGUGGGAUUUUGUAUGUACCAUAUGAAUAAGGAUCGGCUAACUCCGUGCCAGCAGCCGCGGUAAUCCGGAGGAUCCGAGCGUUAUCCGGAUUUAUUGGGUUUAAAGGGAGCGUAGGUGGGUUGUUAAGUCAGUUGUGAAAGUGUGGGGCUUAACCGUAAAAUUGCAGUUGAAACUGGCAGUCUAGAGUACAGUAGAGGUGGGCGGAAUUCGUGGUGUAGCGGUGAAAUGCUUAGAUAUCACGAAGAACUCCGAUUGCGAAGGCAGUUCACUGGACUGCAACUGACACUGAGGCGCGAAAGUAUGGGUAUCAAACAGGAUUAGAUACCCCUGUAGUC
rnacentral:rRNA from 1 species